UCAAAAUGCCCAACUGCCACACGUCCUGCACUCCAGCACUGUUGAAGAGCUGCACAUGGCCUAUGACAUUAGCAUCCAUGUUCCACCCUUUAUUGAAGAGAGGUGCCAACAGCCUGCACGAGCAACCGACUCCAAAUCCAGCAACUGCUGCCACGGUCCAAAAGCAAGGCACAUGGGGCCCAUGAAGCAAUGAAUGUUUAAAUAGAAGAAAGCAGCACACGGACUUAAUCAAAAGAGCUUGGACGUCCAGGAGGCUUCAUUUUAUUGAAUGAAAAGGAACCAACGGGGCCCAUUAGCACAAGAUGGACUGUCCAACACGUGAAGCAGGGGGGUCACUCAUUUCUUCACAAAAAGCUUCAAAAAGAAGAUGUAUGGAUUCUUGGGCUGGACUUUAAUUUUUGUGCGUGGCCUGAACUAAGGAGGAAGACACGCUGCAGCUUGGUCAACAUCCAGCUUUUGAA
rnacentral:lncRNA from 1 species